UCCAUAUCAGUUCAACUCAUUAUUUUUCAUUCCUUCAAACCCUAGAACGACCUCCUACUCUCCUCCAACAUCAAGAACACCAAGGGUUUUCAAGAAAACCCAUCUCAAGAUUCAAGAAUCAAGAUUUGGGAAAUCUUCUCCAAAAUUCAAGUCUUUAAUUCAGGUUUUGGAGCAAUUAAGGGUUUGCAACAUAUUUCCUUCCAAAGUGAUUCAAGCUAGGUUUUGGGUGUUCUUCAAUAGAAAAGUGAAUUGUUAAAUCUUGUUUAACAAAUUAAGGUAACGAAGAAGAGCAGGUUCGUGAUACUUUCGACGCUUAAUAGGACUUGCUACUGCUGUGGAUUUGGUGAGCCCACAUCCUUGUUCGUGGGACACUUUCUGUUUCAUUUAUUAUUCUAGAUUUCCGGGCUGCGUCCCGAAGUUUGACGAUUGUUAUGUCUCUUAGAAGCUCCAUAGAUAGUUGUCAGAAUUGUGGGUAGAUUGUCAAAAGUCUCGUACGACUUAAUGGGUGUUUGCCACGUUGAUGGCCAUUGCUUAU